CCUCAAUAUAAAUACUGUUCCAGAUUGGCUAGCAGAACUUGCUAUCGAUUGUCCCUGUUCACAGACAGCUAAACCAACAAGAGGACCACCUCUGUGCAUAACGAUUAACAAUGCUUCGACCCUCCAUUCUGCUAGCAUCCCAUAUCUUAAUGCAUCCAUCCGCCGAAGAACUAGCAAAGAGACUACUGUCUGGAAUAGACACUAAUCUAUUAACUGCAGCUCUAUGUUCGUGGAGAUGAGCAACGGGAACACCUCGUGGUCUCCAUCCACUUGGUAGUAAUCUAGAGCCUUUUGUUACCAUUGGCAUUAAUUAAAUAAAUAAUAGGUAAGCAGUAUUGCUUCUGAGAAAUAUAUAAUCACUUUUAUUUA